CCAAUAGCGUAUAUUAAAGUUGUUGCAGUUAAAAAGCUCGUAGUUGAAUUUCGGGAUCAAAUUGUCGGUCGUGCCUCGGUACGUACUGGCGUUAUUGGUUCCUCCCUUCUGAAGAACCACGAUGUCAUUAAUUUGGUGUCGUGGGGAAUCAGGACUGUUACUUUGAAAAAAUUAGAGUGUUUAAAGCAGGCUCGCGCUUGAAUACAUUAGCAUGGAAUAAUGAAAUAGGACGUUUGAUUCUAUUUUGUUGGUUUCUAGGAUCGACGUAAUGAUUAAUAGGGAUAGUUGGGGGCAUUAGUAUUCAAUUGUCAGAGGUGAAAUUCUUGGAUUUAUUGAAGACUAACUACUGCGAAAGCAUUUGCCAAGGAUGUUUUCAUUAAUCAAGAACGAAAGUUAGGGGAUCGAAGACGAUCAGAUACCGUCGUAGUCUUAACCAUAAACUAUGCCGACUAGGGAUCGGAUGAUGUUAAUUUUUUAAUGACUCAUUCGGCGCCUUACG
rnacentral:rRNA from 1 species